UCCUAAAGCUAAAAUUACACCGCUUCAUACUCCAGCUCAACAAAACUCCAUUUUUGGCUAAAAUUCAGAGUGCCUUUUGAUCUUGACAGACUUGUUCGCCCAUUUCGGGCAAAAUUUUCAAUGCCGUUGUCUUCUUUCUUGCAAAAGAGCUUCAAACGAACCCCAUUUUCUUCAUUCACAGAUGUUUUUUUUGAAAACCACAUUGGGUUUUUACACCCUCAAGAGUUUGAACACUCAGAAACUCGGCUAAGCCUUGAGUUUCAAGGAAGUUCUCACUCACAGUUAGUUUUUGGGUCUCGUUUUCGUUCGUCGGAAGCUAGUUUGGGUGAAAGGUUGUUUGUCGACUCCGAUCGCCCCCAUCGCUGCUCAUCAAAAAGUGUGUAGAGUUGUUCCAGGUACAUGAGCGAGAUUCGAUUAGCCUUCAAGGAUCUCAUGUAGUUCAUCUAGAAUUUUCUAUUUAAUUCUCAUUCUAGACAAAAGUUGUAUUCAGGUUGUGGUUGUAACUUUUAUUCAAGUUGUAUACUUAGAAGCUCUUGUACUAUUCAGACCAGAUUCCUUGGGUAGUUGUCGUAAUCCGUAUUACUAAUUAUUUAUGAUUUUA